UACAAGGGCUGUUAUGAAAACCCACA
rnacentral:piRNA from 1 species